rnacentral:tRNA from 1 species
GAGGGUAUAGCUCAGUGGCAGAGCGCAUGCCUAGCAUGCAUGAGGUCCUAGGUUCAAUCCUCAGCACCUUUA